GGCGGGGAACCUGAGUUAUUGAUGGCUUCUCAUGUUUUGAAGACACCUAUCUCAAUCUUAAUGAGGGACACAAGCUCUCUUAGUUUAGUAAACAUAGCUAAAUAUGGGGAAGAAUACAGGAAUGAGAAGGACAUGUGUAUUAAUGUGUUGUUUCAUGGGUAUGGCCACUAUGACAUUGGAAACUUUAUCAACCGAGAGUUUCCUGGAAUCAAAUAGAUACUGUGAUAUUGUAUCUUAUUUAUCUGAGAUAUCAAAUCUGCUAAGUCAAAGUGCUUACUACUUUUGAUAGGUAACGAGCUAUUAGAAUGCUUUUAGUUUUGUUCAAGAUGAGUAACUGUUACAAUUGUUUGGUAAAUAAUGCUGGGAUUGGUUUGGGUGAUAAAUAUCCUAUUGGCAGUAAAGUUCAAGC